AUGUACUGGUAUCUAUCACUUUUUUUUUUGUCUAGCAUCACAUGCAGCUUGCCAUAUUCUUCAGUUGCACAGUUUCUAUUUUUUGUAGCACAUCCGCAGAAAGGAAACCCAUUAUGCUUUCCAAAUUAUUUUUCUUUAGCAGAGUUUGCAUAUUUUAUAGUGUACCUAAUACCUCCUGGCUACCACUAAUAACACUUGAUUCCAUAUACCCAGGCAUCUUUAAAUAAAGUCAUUUCACCAUCCUUCUUGGAGCUUGGUAUAGGCGAGCUUGUCUCAAUAUACAGUGAAUUAUGUGAAAUUGGGAAGGCACCUCCUGUGAUAGAUGCAGAUGACCUGCAACAAGAACCUGAGGACCUGCUGGACCACCCGAGGGGAAACUGCGGCAGGGUGCUCGGAAGCAGCGCACGCUUAUCGACGAUUUCAUCCCCACCAUUGAGGGCAGAAAUGCCAUACGCUCCCCACAUCCGAAGAGGCUUCUUGGUUCAGGAACAAAGUAAGGAUUCUAAUUGGUAACUUUUGUGGUGCGUUUGGCGACCUCCGGUCACCAAGAGUAAUCAAAAUUUUGGAGCAAAAUGAUGCAAGCUGAUGUAUUCUUGCGCGUUUUUGGCAUCCACUAGGAGAUGGAACAUUCAUCGAACUGGAGUAGGUGUGGAUAGGCGCAUGGAGGAUCUCGACACUGAUGUAGGCACACUUAAGUACUUAACAGAGCAUGCACAAUAUCUUUAGUUGGCUUAUAAAGAAAACUUUUUGUUUCUGCCACAAUGAAAAGUAUAGAUCAUUAAUUUGUCCAUGGUCGAAAAUAGAUAAUAUAUGUUAUGACAUGUUUUUUAGUGUAGAAAAACAAUUGAUGAUUAUAGUAUAGCAUCAUCCAGUAUAUUGCAUUUCAGGUAUCU